AACGAACGCUGGCGGCAUGCCUAACACAUGCAAGUCGAACGAGACCUUCGGGUCUAGUGGCGCACGGGUGCGUAACGCGUGGGAACCUGCCCUUAGGUUCGGAAUAACUCCCCGACAGGGGUGCUAAUACCGGAUAAUGUCUUCGGACCAAAGAUUUAUCGCCUUUGGAUGGGCCCGCGUUGGAUUAGCUAGUUGGUAGGGUAAAAGCCUACCAAGGCGACGAUCCAUAGCUGGUCUGAGAGGAUGAUCAGCCACACUGGGACUGAGACACGGCCCAGACUCCUACGGGAGGGAGGAGUGGGGAAUAGUGGACAAUGGGCGGAAGCCUGAUCCAGCAAUGACGCGUGAGUGAUGAAGGCCUUAGGGUUGUAAAGCGCUUUUACCCGGGAUGAUAAUGACAGUACCGGGAGAAUAAGCUCCGGCUAACUCCGUG
rnacentral:rRNA from 1 species